rnacentral:misc_RNA from 1 species
CAGUGUUCUCUGCCCUCACGGGUAGAAACGCCCACCCUUGUAUAUUAUAUCUUUGUUGCUUUGGCAGGCCGCCCUCGGGCACCGGCUCCGGCUGGGUCGCGCCUGCUAGAGGAAACCCAAACUCUGAAUGUUGGUGUCGUCUGAGUACUAUCUAAUAGUUA